GGACUGUCUUCAAGGGGGAAUCCGAUGACUCCAUUCUCCGGCUGGCCAAGGCUGACUGCAUCGUCUCCAAGAACUUCUGAGGGCGAGGACCCUCAGGCCGGGCUGAGACUUGUCCUAAAUAAACAGUAAAAACUUC